rnacentral:lncRNA from 10 species
UCCAGGGACAGGAUAUCACUCUUCUCCUUCUCUGGCUGGGCGAGCAGUUUGCGGAACACAUUCCUGUCAAUCAUAAACCCAGAGAGGAUGACACUCAGAGAUGGAAGUGGAUCUGCUGGGGCAGGGCAGGGGCAGGCUGGGGAAGCAGGGGACCACUAGCUUGGGAGGGGUGAUGACAAGAUCAAUGGGUGGCACUUUCAGAGGCCUAACAGUGGGUGCCACAUUUUGGGGAUGGAGGAGAUGAUGGGGCAUGACUGGCCUUGUUUCCUUGAGGCAACUUGGAGCUAAGUGAUUUCCUCAAAAAUCUAGAAGGCUCUAGAACUCUGCACUUGUCACCGUCAGCCUGCCCUCUCUCCAAAGUGAAUGUGCUCUGCUUGGGGUUAUGUGUAAUAAAAGCUGAUGAUCAGAGGGGAAAUUCAGAAGGAGAUGUAGAAGGGAAGUCACCAAAUAUGAAAGGUUUUAUUAUUUUUUAAAUGGAUUUUUCUUACUUCAUGACAGCUGACAUGACGUGCCCUGAGCAAAACCGACCAAGAGUGAUGUCUCUCUGUGAGUUUAAAGCUGGCCAGGAGCAGGUAAAAUAAAGCAUUCUGAGUGGAUGUGCACUGCAUGGAGUUGGCUGUCAGCUGGCAGGGGUGAUGCACAUGGAGGAGGUGGGGAGCCUGUUCAGACCCUCGGACCCUGUACCUGUUCGCUCAUGGUGUUGAUCCCAUCGGGCCCCAGCAGAGACACUGCCUGCUUCACCAGGUCUGUUCGUCCACAGUUCAGCAUCCGGAAACCCAGGUCCUGCUUAAACUUGGCUUCGAUGGCCACCGCAUCCAGCUUUCGAGAUGCACAAAAGCAGUCGUCGGCCCUAAGGAAGGGAAGAGACAUCAUGCGGGUACAGCGGCUUCCCAGAGGGGCACAGGAGCAAACUCCGCAGGAAGCACCCUGGGACAUUGCAUUUGCUUUUCAUGUAAAUUGCCUGUUCCUAGGCUCCAAUUAAAAUGAUGGCCUCCGGAUGUCUCUUGAUCCUUUGUCCUUUAUGACUGCUGUGAAUCUGUCUAGUCUCCUGUGUGCUCCCAUAGCAUACUGAGCUAAGUCACAUAACGACUAAUACGUAUUGAAUAUUUACUAUGGACUAGGCACUCUUGCUAAGCUCUUUGCAUGAAUUAAUUCAUUGAAUCCCCACAUAACCCAAGAGGUAAAUCCUAUGACCUCUCUUUCACCCAUGGGGAAACAGACACAGAUAAGGGCCCUGCCCAAGGCUACACAGUGUGAAAGCAGUGGAGCUAGGAUUUGAACCCAGGUGGUCUGUGUGGAGAGCUGGCCUGUUUAUCUACCGUCCCCCUGUCCUGCAAUCACAGGACUUAACUAUUUGCCUGUUUAUUUGUCGGACUGCCUGCUCUAGGCUGGGGACUUCUGAGAGCAAGGGCCUUGUCUGGUGAGCCUCUCCAUCCCAGGGCCUGAGAGGGCAAAGCACAUAGAGGUUAAUGGGAGCUGAAUGAACACAGACUGGGUGGAUUCUCUGCAUUCGAAACAGUCGCAGUCGCAGGACAGAGAACCGGCAAGAUCAAACAGGAAUAUAAAUGGCAAGGUGCAUGGGAAUUUGUCAUCCAGCCAGCCCAGGGCAUCAAGAAAGAGGUUAGAGAAGGGUGGGGAGGAGAAUCAAUGGAAUCAAGAAGGUGCUACAAAUUCUGCUUAUAAAGGAUGUUACUUCCUUCUCACAAUGAACUGAUCAAUCAAUUAAUGAUGAAAUCAAAGCACUAAGCAUUUAUUGAAUACCUGUUUGUGCUAAGCUCUCUUCUAGGUGCUGAAAACACAAAGUAAACAUGUCACCAUCCCUGCCUUGGGGCCCCACUGCCUGGAAAGGGAGAGGACACAGCCAUGGGUUGUUAUAAUUCAAUGUGGCAAAUGCAAGGAUUGAGGGGUCAGAGGCACGCACUGUUACAGAACACAGGCGCUGCAGGAGUGCAAGGAAGCCGCCAGGCAGAGACUAGCAGAUCCAGCAAGCCUUCGUGGGGGAGAUGACCACUGGGCUAUCUGUGUCUUUAUUUUAUUUUAUUUUAUUUUAUUUUAUUUUAUUUUAUUUUAUAUUUUAUUUUAU